rnacentral:misc_RNA from 1 species
CAGGCAUGGGAGGACGUG